AAAACAAAGGUGCCUUUGCCAAUAUUGUUUCUUUUUGACAAGCCCUGAGAUUUCUGAGGGGAAUUCACAUAAAUGGGAUCAGGUCAUUCAUUUAUGUUGUGUGCAAAUAUGAUUUAAAGAUAUAACCUU
ensembl:misc_RNA